AAAGUUGGUGGGAGGAUGAUAUAGUCAUAUAUUUCUGUGGGUAAUAAGCCUGGUGGAAAUUGUUAGCAUUUUUGGUAUUCAAGAUACAGUGUGUAGAUUCUCAGGUAAUUGAGAUAAUAUGAUUUAUCUUGAAUGAUUAUUUUAAAAAGGCAAACUAUGAACAAAGAGUACGUGUUCUGAACUAAGGUUUAUCGCUAAUACUGAUCUAUCCUACUGAUGUUCAUAUGAAUAAAAUAGGACCUAGUUUCUUCCUUCUAAGUCACAUGGAGACUUAUGCAUGUGAAAAUGGUGUUUCAGUUCUGGGUUUCAGUUGGAGAGUUUAAUACUUCAUAUAUAUAUACACAUAUAUAUAUAUAAUUUUAUUAUAGUUUAUAUUCACAGUAUAUGUUUUAUUACAUAUUUGAUAUUUAUACAAUAUAUUUUAUAUCUUACUAUAAGUGAUAUAUUUUUUUAGGAAAAUAAAUCGAUGGUCAGAUUAUUCCAUCACAAACUAAAUAUAUAAAUGAAAGGCUUUGUAAAGGCAUAGAGUAAGAUAAAGCUAGGAUUAUUUGUGAGAAUGUGCCAUAACACUAGUUUUAAAAAGCUAUCCAAUUCUGCACAAAAUUCAUGAAAAUAAUUAGUAGGCCAUUAACUUAAGAGCAGAGAAUAUACAACUAUGCACCUGUGAUAUCUAAAACCUCUGUUCUUGACUUGGGUGUUGGAUUCAGUGAUGCUUAUUACUACAUAGCUUAAAAUAAAAAUCAAAUAAGUUGAUAAAUAAAAAGGAUUGCAGCUUUUCUACCAAUUAUGAGAAUGUGAUAUGAUUCAAGUUUAUGAUUAAUCUGGCAGUGCAAAGCUCACAUCCCUUUAAAAACAUCUACUGUAGACUGUGUGGAAUUGGCUUUUCCUCUACUGCAUGAACAUACCACAGCCAACUCAAG
rnacentral:lncRNA from 1 species